UGCAAGGUACCAGCUGAUGGAAGGCUUCAGAGAAAUUGCGCAUGCUGCUCACAUUCCCUUUGUGCUGCUUUGUGCUGUUGGGAUCAAGAUGAGCAAAGUGGGCAUGGAGCAGCUGCUGGGAACUGCUGGACUCAAACCUCCUGGAGCUGUCUCGUGGCCAGACAUCACAACUGCUCCUCAUGGUGCUGUCUGGAGAACCUGUGCACUUGAAGUACCAUGAGAAGGGAGAAGGAUGAUAGAGCCUCCGGGGGAUGGGGCUCCUGCUCUUGAGUCAGGGCCCCACAGCUGGUGGGAAGUGCUCAGCUGCUCUCCUCCUGCUUCAUCACAGCAAUAGGAGUGCAACCCCAGUGUCCCAGCACACAUCCCCGUUGCAGCAGAGCUCAGUGAGGCAGUGGUUGGAGCUUGUCUUGCAGCAGGACGUCUCGGAGGAAUACAGUGCAUCGUGUUCCCAGGCUGCCAGCUCCAUAAUGAAACCAUUUUUCAGGUGGUAGAAAACUGUCCAAGUGGGGGCCCUUCAAGAGAGAUUCUCCAGCAAGUGCCAAUCCCACUGGUCACCGUCUGUAACCUUACUGCACCCUUGGUGAUGUCCUUCAGGUCCAUUCCUCAGUUCCUUCAUGAAUCAGCCCAUGUGGCUGUAACAUGGGGCAGCUUUGGCCAACCACAGGUCCACUGCGACUGCCUUAAAUCGGGUUGUACAAUUUGGUUUCAAUGAGGUUUAACUCAUGUCAGUAUUUUACCCAGUGCUAGGAAAGUAAUCUUAGUUAAUCAAAAUAAAGAGGAUCUAGCCCAGAAAUCUGGUGCUAAAUUGAGGCCUGUAACCUUUUGUAAUACACUCAGUACGCUCCCUUCCUUUCUUAGAAGCCUGUCAUUGCAUACAUGGUCAGCCCUGGAGUUGGGAUGGCUUGCUGAGAAAGAAUGUGGACAUGCAGUUGCUUUUUGAAUUCCAAAUUUCCUGAUUAAAAACCUUUGUUUCCUGGUGAAAAAGGGAAUCUAAUCUAAUAGGUGUUAAAGAGAAUGGGAAAACGGAGAGCAGUGAGUGAGAGGAGGUUAAGAAGGGAGACUAUUUUGAACACCUUUCUUCUCUGCUAAAACCUGCCCAUCUCCAAGGCAGGAGCAGCUCUGCCCAGCUGCAUCCUGGCAGCAUGAUAAGGAUUGCUUUAAGCCUCCAUAAGGUCCACCAGGGCUGCUGGCAGUUGUCUAUUAGAGGGAGCUGAUAGCUAAUCUCCUCCCUGCAUGUACCAU